rnacentral:rRNA from 1 species
GUAACACGUGGAUAACCUGCCCUUAGGACCGGCAUAACCCUGGGAAACUGGGGAUAAUUCCGGAUAACCCAUGAAUGCUGGAAUGCUUCGUGGGUAAAAUGGUUUCGACCGCCCAAGGAUGGAUCUGCGGCCUAUCAGGUAGUAGUGGGUGUAGUGUACCUACUAGCCGACGACGGGUACGGGUUGUGAGAGCAAGAGCCCGGAGAUGGAUUCUGAGACAUGAAUCCAGGCCCUACGGGGCGCAGCAGGCGCGAAAACUUUACAAUGCGGGAAACCGCGAUAAGGGGACACUGAGUGCCAGCAUCUUAUGUUGGCUGUCCGCAUGUUUAAAAAGCAUGUGUUAGCAAGGGCUGGGCAAGACCGGUGCCAGCCGCCGCGGUAACACCGGCAGCCCGAGUGGUGAUCACUAUUAUUGGGUCUAAAGGGUCCGUAGCCGGUUUGAUCAGUCUUUUGGGAAAUCUGACAGCUUAACUGUUAGGCUUCCAAAGGAUACUGUCAGACUUGGGACCGGGAGAGGUAAGAGGUACUACAGGGGUAGGAGUGAAAUCUUGUAAUCCCUGUGGGACCACCAGUGGCGAAGGCGUCUUACCAGAACGGGUCCGACGGUGAGGGACGAAAGCUGGGGGCACGAACCGGAUUAGAUACCCGGGUAGUCCCAGCCGUAAACGAUGCUCGCUAGGUGUCAGGAAUGGUGCGACCGUUUCUGGUGCCGUAGGGAAGCCGUGAAGCGAGCCACCUGGGAAGUACGGCCGCAAGGCUGAAACUUAAAGGAAUUGGCGGGGGAGCACUACAACGGGUGGAGCCUGCGGUUUAAUUGGACUCAACGCCGGAAAACUCACCGGGGGCGACAGCAAUAUGUAGGUCAGGCUAAAGACCUUACCCGAAUCGCUG